rnacentral:lncRNA from 1 species
AAGUCCUCCAAGAGCAUCUAACAACCCUGAGUGGUUAUGUAUGAUACGUUGGAAAAAUCAGACUAGCUCUCUGCUGCCACCUGGUGUUUAAUGUAUGACAACAGUUUGUGACAGAACUGCUGGCCCAUGUUGACUCCAAUCCUUCCCACAGUUGUGUCAAUUGGCUGGAUUCCUUUGGGGGGGGGGGGUCCAUUCUCUGAUACAAACAGGAAACUGUUGAGCGUGAAAAACUAGCGACGUUGCAGUUUUUGACACAAAACCGGUGCGCCUGGCAUCUACUACCAUUCUCUGUUCAAAGACACUUACAUCUUUUGUCUUGUCCAUUCACCCUCUGAAUGGCACACAUACACAAUCCAUGUCUCAAUUAUCUCAAGGCUUUAAAAAUCCUUCUUUACCCCGCCAUGUGGACCCUCCAUGCCCAGGGACUUGACCAGACACCCCGAUGAUGGCUGAAACUGGUCAAAGGUGUGCUUCCCAUUAUACCUGCCGUUCCACUCUGACCUAUGGGGUUCAGAGGUCACAGGGCUAGGGUCAGAUGAGGGGUCAAAGGGUCAUGUGACUCGUUGUUAAGGAUUAUGUUUAUAAUAUUAUAAUAUGAUAUUAUGUUAGCUGCAUGAUGGUCUGCAUGAUGGUCUAGCAGCACUUCUCCAAGGUCACGCAACCUUUCAACUCAGUCCCAGAGACACGCUACCCUUCAACUCAGUCCCAAAGACACGCUACCCUUCAACUCAGUCCAAAGACAAGCUACCCUCCAACUCAGCCAGAACACGCUACCCUUCAACUCAGCCAAAGACACGCUACCCUUCAACUCAGUCCCAAAGACACGCUACCCUUCAACUCAGUCCCAAAGACACGCUACUCUUCAACUCAGUCCCAAAGACAAGCUACCCUCCAACUCAGUCCCAGAGACACGCUACCCUUCAACUCAGUCCCAAAGACACGCUACCCUCCAACUCCAGUCCAGAGACACGCUACCCUUCAACUCAGUCCCAAAGACACGCUACCCUUCAACUCAGUCCAAGGACAAGCUACCCUUCAACUCAGUCCCAAGGUCACGCUACUCCCUCCAACUCAGUCCCAAAGACACGCUACUCAACCCUCCAACUCAGUCCCAAAGACACGCUACCCUUCAACUCAGUCCCAAGGUCACGCUACUCAACCCUCCAACUUAGUCCCAAAGACACGCUACCCUUCAACUCAGUCCCAAAGACACGCUACCCUCCAACUCAGUCCCAAGGACACGCUACCCUCCAACUCAGUCCCAAGGACACGCUACCCUCCAACUCAGUCCCAAGGAAAAGCCUAGCAACGUUGCAGUUCUUGACACAAACCGGUGCGCUGGGCAUCUACUACCAUUCUCUGCUCAAAGACACUUAA